GCUGGCGGCAGGCCUAACACAUGCAAGUCGAACGGUAGCACAGAGGAGCUUGCUCCUUGGGUGACGAGUGGCGGACGGGUGAGUAAUGUCUGGGAAACUGCCUGAUGGAGGGGGAUAACUACUGGAAACGGUAGCUAAUACCGCAUAACGUCGCAAGACCAAAGAGGGGGACCUUCGGGCCUCUUGCCAUCAGAUGUGCCCAGAUGGGAUUAGCUAGUAGGUGGGGUAAUGGCUCACCUAGGCGACGAUCCCUAGCUGGUCUGAGAGGAUGACCAGCCACACUGGAACUGAGACACGGUCCAGACUCCUACGGGAGGCAGCAGUGGGGAAUAUUGCACAAUGGGCGCAAGCCUNAUNCANCCAUGCCGCGUGUAUGAAGAAGGCCUUCGGGUUGUAAAGUACUUUCAGCGGGGAGGAAGGCGAUACGGUUAAUAACCGUGUCGAUUGACGUUACCCGCAGAAGAAGCACCGGCUAACUCCGUGCCAGCAGCCGCGGUAAUACGGAGGGUGCAAGCGUUAAUCGGAAUUACUGGGCGUAAAGCGCACGCAGGCGGUCUGUCAAGUCGGAUGUGAAAUCCCCGGGCUCAACCUGGGAACUGCAUUCGAAANNGACAGGCUAGAGUCUUGUAGAGGGGGGUAGAAUUCCAGGUGUAGCGGNGAAAUGCGUAGNNAUNUGGAGGAAUACCGGUGGCGANNNCGGC
rnacentral:rRNA from 1 species